rnacentral:lncRNA from 1 species
CAACAUACUACAGGGACCAUUGCUGUAAAAAAAAAAUACUACAGGGACCAUUAAUCCGAAGGACAAGGGAGAUACUUAGGCACCUCUUACGUGGACCGAUGAGGCAAAUAAAUGUAACAAAAAUCUUGCAUUUAACGGGGGCCUCCUUCGCCUCUGCAAUAAAAAAGGCAACGUCUGCUAUCUCAUCUUCAUCGAAUAGAUCCACUUGUACAGAGCAGCCAGCCAAAAUCAGAACCCGUCACUACAGAAAGAAAGGGCACACACAGAGGAUUAGGAUGCAGAGGGGGAUGUCCUCCUUUUCGAAAAAAAAAAGAUAGGACUAGGAG